AUGACUUCUGUGCCGCCGUUAACGCAUUAAGUAUUCCGCUUGGGGAGUACGGUCGCAAGAUUAAAACUCAAAGGAAUUGACGGGGGCCCGCACAAGCAGCGGAGCAUGUGGUUUAAUUCGAAGCAACGCGAAGAACCUUACCUAGACUUGACAUCUCNUGCAUUACCCUUAAUCGGGGAAGUUCCUUCGGGGACAGGAAGACAGGUGGUGCAUGGUUGUCGUCAGCUCGUGUCGUGAGAUGUUGGGUUAAGUCCCGCAACGAGCGCAACCCUUAUUGUUAGUUGCUACCAUUUAGUUGAGCACUCUAGCGAGACUGCCCGGGUUAACCGGGAGGAAGGUGGGGAUGACGUCAAAUCAUCAUGCCCCUUAUGUCUAGGGCUACACACGUGCUACAAUGGCAAGUACAAAGAGAAGCAAGACCGUGAGGUGGAGCAAAACUCAAAAACUUGUCUCAGUUCGGAUUGUAGGCUGAAACUUGCCUACAUGAAGCUGGAGUUGCUAGUAAUCGCGAAUCAGCAUGUCGCGGUGAAUACGUUCCCGGGCCUUGUACACACCGCCCGUCACACCAUGAGAGUUGGCAAUACCCAACGUACGUGAUCUAACCCGCAAGGGAGGAAGCGUCCUAAGGUAGGGUCAGCGAUUGGGGUGAAGUCGUAACAAGGUAACCGU
rnacentral:rRNA from 1 species